UACGUAGGGCGCAAGCGUUGUCCGGAAUUAUUGGGCGUAAAGAGCUCGUAGGCGGCCAGUUGCGUCUGCUGUGAAAUCCCGGGGCUCAACCCCGGGCGUGCAGUGGAUACGGGCUGGCUAGAGGCAGGCAGGGGAGAACGGAAUUCCCGGUGUAGCGGUGAAAUGCGCAGAUAUCGGGAGGAACACCGGUGGCGAAGGCGGUUCUCUGGGCCUGUACUGACGCUGAGGAGCGAAAGCAUGGGGAGCGAACAGG
rnacentral:rRNA from 1 species